GACGAACGCUGGCGGCGUGCUUAACACAUGCAAGUCGAACGAUGAUCCGGGUGCUUGCACCUGGGGAUUAGUGGCGAACGGGUGAGUAACACGUGAGUAACCUGCCCUGGACUCUGGGAUAACCCCGAGAAAUCGGAGCUAAUACCUGAUAGGACCUUUCCUCGCAUGAGGUGGGGUGGAAAGUUUUUUCGGUUUGGGAUGGACUCUCGGCAUAUCGGCUUGUUGGUGCGGUAAUGGCUCACCAAGGCGUCGACGGGUAGCCGGGCUGAGAGGGUGACCGGCCACACUGGGACUGAGACACGGCCCAGACUCCUACGGGAGGCAGCAGUGGGGAAUAUUGCACAAUGGGCGUAAGCCUGAUGCAGCAACGCCGCGUGCGGGAUGACGGCCUUCGGGUUGUAAACCGCUUUUAGUAGGGAAGAAGCCUCUUGGGGUGACGGUACCUGCAGAAAAAGGACCGGCUAACUACGUGCCAGCAGCCGCCGCCGUAA
rnacentral:rRNA from 1 species